AUCUAGUCUGACACACCUAAAUGCAUCAUCAUAAGUAACUCAAUACCAACCUCAUGGCAUAAUUUUCUGAGAUCUGACAGGAUAUUAAUCAGGCAACCUGCAAUAUUUUCUUUGUGAAAAAAACC
rnacentral:lncRNA from 12 species